rnacentral:lncRNA from 1 species
GGGGGGUGGGGGGUUUCCUAUUUUUGGGAGGAAUUCUCUUUUUUGGAGAGGAAUUCCCAUUUUUUUGCGGGGAAAUUCCCAUUUUUUGGGGUGAUUCCCAUUUCUUGGUGUGAUUCCCAUUUUUUGGGGGGAAAUUCCCGUUUUUGGGGUGGGGAAUUCCCAUUUUUGGGGUCUCCACAGUUUUUGGGGUUCCAGAUUUUCCCUGGCUUUGAGGAUUCUCUCUGGUUUUUAUGGGGUUUCCGUGUUUUGGGAGAAUUUUCCCUGGUUUUUAUGGGGUUUCUCUGUUUUGGGGGGAUUUCUCUGGUUUUUUAUGGGGUUUCUCUGUUUUUUACAGGAUUUCUCUCUUUUGGGGGGAAUUUUCUCUGUUUUUGGGGGAUUUCCCCUGCUUUUUAUGGGGUUUCCCUGUUUUGGGGGAUUUUCCCUGGUUUUUAUGGGGUUUCUCUGUUUUUAUGGGGUUUCUCUGGUUUUUAUGGGGUUUCUCUCUUUUGGGGGGAAUUUUCUCUGUUUUGGGGGGAUUUUCCCUGUUUUUUAUGGGGUUUCCCUGUUUUGGGAGGAUUUUCCCUGUUUUUUAUGGGGUUUCCCUGUUUUGGGAGAAUUUUCCCUGGUUUUUAUGGGGUUUCCCUGUUUUGGGAGAAUUUUCCCUGUUUUUUAUGGGGUUUCUCUGUUUUUUAUGGGUUUUCCCUGGUUUUUAUGGGGUUUCCCUGGUUUUCAUGGGGUUUCUCUCUUUUGGGGGGAAUUUUCUCUGUUUUUUGGGGAAUUUUCCCUGCUUUUUGAUGGGGUUUGGGGACAUCGAGAUUGACACAAGGGUGGGGACAUGGGGACAGGGGGACACCGGGAUUUGGGGACAUCGGGAUUGGCAGCGGGAUGGGGACAGGGACACAGAUGGGGACAAGGACAGGGAUGGGGACAGGGAUGGGGACAUCGGGAUUGGCACCAGGAUGGGGACAGGGAAAAGGACAGGGACACGGGGACAUUGGGAUGGGCACCGGGAUGGGGACAGGGACAUGGAUAAGGGGAUGGGGACAAGGACAGGGACACAGGGACACGAGGAUGGGGACGGGGAAGGGGACAGGGGCCUGGUGGCGCUGCUGGCACAGGGACAAGGACACGGGGACACCGGGGUUGGGGACAUCGGGAUUGACCCGGGGACAUUGGGAUCGGCACCAGGAUGGGGACAGGGACACGGAUGGGGACAAGGACACGGGGACAGGGACAGGAAUGGGGACAGGGAAAAGGGGAUGGGGACAAGGACAGGGAUAUGGGGACAGGGACCUCGGGGCCUGGCAGUGCCACUGGCACAGGGACAAGGACACGGGGACACCGGGAUUUGGGACACCGGGACUGGGACACCGGGAUUGACUCGGGGACAUCGGGACGGGGACACGGGCGCAGGGAUGCAGACAGGGACAGGGAUUUGGGGACAUCGGGAUUUGGGGACAUCGGGGUUUGGGGACAUCGGGGUUUGGGGACAUCAGGAAUCUGGGGCCUGGUGGCAUCACUGGCGCGGGGCCAAGGCCGCAGGGACACGCGUGACACGCUCGGGGACACGCGCAGAGGACACGCGUGACACGCUCAGGUACGCGUGACACGCUCGGGGACACGCAGGGGACACGCGUGUGCAGCCCCGGGUGACGCAGCAGCCGCCUCGCGGCCGGGCCGGGGGGGCCUGGCAGCCCCGGGUGUCCCCUGGGUGUCCCUUGGGUGUCCCCUGGGUGUCCCUUGGGUGUCCCUGGCACACCUGGCACACCUGGCACACCUGGCACACCUGGCACACCCCCCGUGUCCCUUGCACGCCCCCCCGGCUCCUUCCAGCACCUUCCCCGCCCCUGCCCGGCCCUUGCACGCCCCUGCGGCACCGCAGCGGCGCCUUGCACACUCACCCACCCUGAGCCUUGCACACCCAUCCCUGAGCCUUGCACACCCACCCUGAGCCUUGCACACCCACCCUGAGCCUUGCACGCUCAUCCCUGAGCCUUGCACACUCACCCACCCUGAGCCUUGCACACCCACCCAGACCACUCCACGCUCAUCCUUGAGCCUUGCACGCUCACCCACCCUGAGCCUUGCACACCCACCCUGAGCCUUGCACACCCACCCUGAGCCUUCCACGCCCAUCUCUGAGCCUUGCACACCCACCCAGACCCUUCCACACUCAUCCCUGAGCCUUGCACACGCACCCUGAGCCUUGCACACCCACCCCUGAGCCUUGCACGCUCAUCUCAGACCCUUGCACACCCACCCCUGAGCCUUGCACGCCCACCCGGACCCUUUGCACACUCACCCAGACCCUCACACACCCACCCAGACCCUGCCACGCUCACCUCGGACCCUUGCACGCCCACCUGGACCCCCGCGCGCUCAUCUUGGUCCCUCGCACGCCCACCCCGGACCCCUCCUCACCCC